UAGUCUGCAACUCGACUACAUGAAGCUGGAAUCGCUAGUAAUCGCAGAUCAGAAUGCUGCGGUGAAUACGUUCCCGGGUCUUGUACACACCGCCCGUCACACCAUGGGAGUCGGAAAUGCCCGAAGCCGGUGACCAAACCAAUAAGGAAGGAGCCGUCGAAGGCAGGUCUGAUAACUGGGGUGAAGUCGUAACAAGGUACC
rnacentral:rRNA from 1 species